GAUGAACGCUGGCGGCGUGCCUAAUACAUGCAAGUCGAGCGAACAGACGAGGAGCUUGCUCCUCUGACGUUAGCGGCGGACGGGUGAGUAACACGUGGAUAACCUACCUAUAAGACUGGGAUAACUUCGGGAAACCGGAGCUAAUACCGGAUAAUAUAUUGAACCGCAUGGUUCAAUAGUGAAAGACGGUUUUGCUGUCACUUAUAGAUGGAUCCGCGCCGCAUUAGCUAGUUGGUAAGGUAACGGCUUACCAAGGCAACGAUGCGUAGCCGACCUGAGAGGGUGAUCGGCCACACUGGAACUGAGACACGGUCCAGACUCCUACGGGAGGCAGCAGUAGGGAAUCUUCCGCAAUGGGCGAAAGCCUGACGGAGCAACGCCGCGUGAGUGAUGAAGGUCUUCGGAUCGUAAAACUCUGUUAUUAGGGAAGAACAAAUGUGUAAGUAACUAUGCACGUCUUGACGGUACCUAAUCAGAAAGCCACGGCCAACUGCGUG
rnacentral:rRNA from 1 species